rnacentral:rRNA from 1 species
UACAGAGGUCUCAAGCGUUGUUCGGAAUCACUGGGCGUAAAGGGUGCGUAGGUGGCGUGGUAAGUCAGAUGUGAAAGCCCGGGGCUCAACCUCGGAAUUGCAUCCGAUACUGCCGUGCUAGAGUACUGAAGAGGUGACUAGAAUUCUCGGUGUAGCAGUGAAAUGCGUAGAUAUCGAGAGGAAUACCAACGGCGAAGGCAGGUCACUGGGCAGUUACUGACACUGAGGCACGAAAGCUAGGGGAGCAAACGGG